ACGGGGAGCAGCAGGCGCGAAAACUUUACAAUGCGGGAAACCGUGAUAAGGGGACACCGAGUGCCAGCAUCAUAUGCUGGCUGUCCAGGUGUGUAAAAUACACCUGUUAGCAAGGGCCGGGCAAGACCGGUGCCAGCCGCCGCGGUAACACCGGCGGCCCGAGUGGUGAUCGUGAUUAUUGGGUCUAAAGGGUCCGUAGCCGGUUUGGUCAGUCCUCCGGGAAAUCUGACAGCUCAACUGUUAGGCUUUCGGGGGAUACUGCCAGACUUGGAACCGGGAGAGGUAAGAGGUACUACAGGGGUAGGAGUGAAAUCUUGUAAUCCCUGUGGGACCACCUGUGGCGAAGGCGUCUUACCAGAACGGGUUCGACGGUGAGGGACGAAAGCUGGGGGCACGAACCGGAUUAGAUACCCGGGUAGUCCCAGCCGUAAACGAUGCUCGCUAGGUGUCAGGCAUGGCGCGACCGUGUCUGGUGCCGCAGGGAAGCCGUGAAGCGAGCCACCUGGGAAGUACGGCCGCAAGGCUGAAACUUAAAGGAAUUGGCGGGGGAGCAC
rnacentral:rRNA from 1 species